AACAAUAGCAUGACAAUUCAGAUUUUUCCUCUUGAUUUUCAGUUUUUUUCUCUUGAAAAAUUCAAAUCCAAAUAAAAAUGCUAAAAAUAAGGAGAAAAAAUAUGAUUUGUCAUACUCCUAUG
rnacentral:pre_miRNA from 1 species